GCCACCUCCAAGCUCCGUCGCAGCUCCUCCAUGUGCCGCUGGUCUUCUUCCAACCAUCUUCCAUAUUCCAUGUCAAAUAUUGCAGCACCUGUAUGUCCAUAUAUCGCCCACAAUCUUCUUAUUACUAAUUACUUGUCAUCACGAAGAUGUGGUUUAUUUGUCGCAUGGAGUCAGAAGAGAGCCAAAAUAGCAGAUUCAAGGAAGGGAGGAAGACAAAGAGAGAAAAUAUUAUACAUGGGCAAUGAUACGCAUGUGCCUCCUACCAUAAUGAUUAAUCUUGUAUGGUUCUAAAAGGUCAAUGAUUAAACUUUUAAAAAGGUGAUUUGGUUCAGAUAGAUUAACAUAAGAGGCUAGCCUUCAUAGGCUGUUGUGUGGAUGUUGAUAAUAUAUAUACCUUGUAUACAGAAUUAACAUGCAAUAUGUUCG